CCUACGGGAGGCAGCAGUAGGGAAUUUUGGACAAUGGGCGAAAGCCUGAUCCAGCCAUGCCGCGUGAGUGAAGAAGGCCUUCGGGUUGUAAAGCUCUUUCGGACGGGAAGAAAUCAUGAGGGCUAAUAUCCCUUGUGGAUGACGGUACCGUAAUAAGAAGCACCGGCUAACUACGUGCCAGCAGCCGCGGUAAU
rnacentral:rRNA from 1 species